rnacentral:lncRNA from 1 species
AUGCCAUGGAACCUGAUGGAUUGCAGUUUGUUGCAGGAUGCACCAGUGAAAGUGACUUUUACCAGCCACUGCUUUUCACUGUUCCUCUGGUUAGCAGCAUUUCUCUUCCUGAGCCAGCAUUUUGACAACGUGUCCUUAUCAUCAGCGUUUGCCUGUUUUGUCUUUGAUCUACAAAAGACAUCUGUUUUACCCCAAUGCAGUCUCUGGAGGUGCACUGGCUGUUUUGUGUAUGAACUGCAGUUCCUGGCGAUUCUGAUUUCAAUGUGAAAAUCUAAUAUUCUAAAGGACUCUGUGGAUCACUAUGUAAUUUUCUUAACAGGGGUUGUAAAAGUAACUUUCUUAGUCACAUGCCUGCAAACCCCACUGCUUCCCAAACUCUGUAAUCAGGAGAAGGGCUGACCUAGUGAAUACCCUUGGAUGACUGGAGGGAAAAAAAAUAGUCUACACAGGAAAUCUCUACUUCAAACUCAUGGGCUUGCAUAGCUCAGAAAUCCCGGGGGCAGACUAAUAGCUAGUGGGGUUGUAUCUUUAUUUGAGCAGAAACAGACUUUCAGGAAUUUUCCAUGGGAACUUGCCCUCAUCCGUCUAGGGUAAACCUUAAAUGAAAAUACGGGCUACUGGCCACCUCGAUGAAAAGGAGGGGGUAUUUUUGUUUUCCUUCUUAUCCUCUUAGCACAGCCAGGAGGAAUACCCUGUUCUGUUGCAUGUACUAAAAUGUUCCCAGAUUUUCUCAACAGCAUACUUUAAAAUAGAACAGCAGCGUGGAAAAUAAGUAAAUAAAUACAAAGAACAUGUCAGAGAAACCCUCUAGAUCUCCUGAACACAGUUGAGUUAUCUCUGCAAAUUAGGCUGGAGAAAAUUCUGCUUAGCAUGGUGCACAUCAGCCUACAGAGAAAACACGUCGUGGAGAAGUGAACUUGCCUGACCCAGCUUGGGCGGACGUGCCGAUGGGGAUAUCUGGGCAAAAUGAAAGCUGUUUAUCUACUACUGUCUCUUACCGUGACCAGCAGCACCUAGAACAUGGAACUCACAGACACAAGCUUCUCCGCUCUGGAUCCCUAAAAUUUCAAUUGGUAGAAAACCAGCUGCAGAAGAUGAGAUCACAGAAGGUUGUCCCAUUCCUCCCCAACCCAGACCACACAGGCCAGUGAAUUGCAGACAGGGAAAGGCAAGGAAAUGUCAGCAAUUAUUAAUGAAUCCCUUCAAAGACCUCAAUCCUAGAUGGGUAAUUCAGCAGAAAUCAAGACCUAGCUCACUUUUUUUUUUUUUUUUUUUUUUUUUUGAGAUGAAGUCUUACUCUGUUGUCCAGGCUGGAGUGCAGUGAUGGAAUCUUGGCACACUGCAACCUCCACCUCCUGGGUUCAGACGUUUCUCCUGCCUCAGACUCCC